rnacentral:rRNA from 1 species
GUGAAUCAUCGAAUCUUUGAACGCACCUUGCGCUCCUUGGUAUUCCGAGGAGCAUGCCUGUUUGAGUGUCAUU